UACGAAGGGGGCUAGCGUUGUUCGGAAUUAUUGGGCGUAAAGGGCUCGUAGGCGGCCAACUAAGUCAGACGUGAAAUCCCUAGGCUCAACCUAGGAACUGCGUCUGAUACUGGAUGGCUUGAAUCCGGGAGAGGGAUGCAGAAUUCCAGGUGUAGCGGUGAAAUGCGUAGAUAUCGGGAGGAACAUCAGUGGCGAAGGCGGCCUUCUGGUCCAGUACUGACACUCAAGUGCGAAAGCGUGGGGAGCAAACAGG
rnacentral:rRNA from 1 species